rnacentral:rRNA from 1 species
UACGGAGGAUGCGAGCGUUAUCCGGAUUUAUUGGGUUUAAAGGGUGCGUAGGCGGGUUAUCAAGUCAGCGGUAAAAUCGUGGAGCUCAACUCCAUCCAGCCGUUGAAACUGAUGAUCUUGAGUGGGCGAGAAGUAUGCGGAAUGCGUGGUGUAGCGGUGAAAUGCAUAGAUAUAACUUAGAACACCGAUAGCGAAGGCAGCUUACCAGACUGAGUCUGACGCUGAUGCACGAGAGCAUGGGUAGCGAACAGG